AAUAUUGCACAAUCGGGGGAAACCCUGAUGCAGCCAUGCCGCGUGUGUGAAGAAGGCCUUCGGGUUGUAAAGCACUUUCAGUAGGGAGGAAGGUAGUGUAGUUAACACCUGCAUUAUUUGACGUUACCUACAGAAGAAGCACCGGCUAACUCCGUGCCAGCAGCCGCGGUAAUACGGAGGGUGCGAGCGUUAAUCGGAAUUACUGGGCGUAAAGCGCAUGCAGGCGGCCUGUUAAGUCAGAUGUGAAAGCCCGGGGCUUAACCUCGGAAUUGCAUUUGAAACUGGCAGGCUAGAGUCUUGUAGAGGGGGGUAGGAAUUUCAGGUGUAGCGGUGAAAUGCGUAGAGAUCUGAAGGAAUACCAGUGGCGAAGGCGGCCCCCUGGACAAAGACUGACGCUCAGAUGCGAAAGCGUGGGGAGCAAACAGGAUUAGAUACCCUGGUAG
rnacentral:rRNA from 1 species